GAAAAAUUGACCUCGAUCGAUCACUUCGUUCUGGCUAGUGGAAGAGGCAGGAGUGAUCGAUUUUUAAGUGUCGCGCCGUGAUGUGUUGUUAAAGAUUUGUUGAGUGUAACUUGUUGAGUGCAACGUUAUAUUGCGUAAAGUUAUUAGCAGCUUCGUGCGUGUGGUUAAAAUUGUGCAGGUUUGUGGCAUUCUGCGGAGCCGUACACAUCACACCAAAAGUCAACGAUCGCUUCUGACCCCACCGUCAGCUACGAGGGUUUUCCCGGAAGUUCGUCAACCGGAAGAGGGUUUGCGAACAUUC